rnacentral:rRNA from 1 species
AUACAUGCAGUCGAGCGAAUGGAUUAAGAGCUUGCUCUUAUGAAGUUAGCGGCGGACGGGUGAGUAACACGUGGGUAACCUGCCCAUAAGACUGGGAUAACUCCGGGAAACCGGGGCUAAUACCGGAUAACAUUUUGAACCGCAUGGUUCGAAAUUGAAAGGCGGCUUCGGCUGUCACUUAUGGAUGGACCCGCGUCGCAUUAGCUAGUUGGUGAGGUAACGGCUCACCAAGGCAACGAUGCGUAGCCGACCUGAGAGGGUGAUCGGCCACACUGGGACUGAGACACGGCCCAGACUCCUACGGGAGGCAGCAGUAGGGAAUCUUCCGCAAUGGACGAAAGUCUGACGGAGCAACGCCGCGUGAGUGAUGAAGGCUUUCGGGUCGUANAACUCUGUUGUUAGGGAAGAACAAGUGCUAGUUGAAUAAGCUGGCACCUUGACGGUACCUAACCAGAAAGCCACGGCUAACUACGUGCCAGCAGCCGCGGUAAUACGUAGGUGGCAAGCGUUAUCCGGAAUUAUUGCGCGUAGAGCGCGCGCAGGUGGUUUC